UUAACAAAAACAUGUCCUUUUGAUUAUAAUUUAAGGUCUAAUCUGCUCAAUGAUUAUUUAAAUAGCCGCAGUAUUUUAACUGUGCAAAGGUAGCAUAAUAAUUAGUUUCUUAAUUAGGGGCUUGUAUGAAUGAUUGGACGAGAAAAUUUCUGUCUCCUUUUAAUUAAUUUUUGAAUUUUAUUUUUAAGUUAAAAAGCUUAAAUUUUUAUAAAAGACGAGAAGACCCUAUAGAGUUUUAUACUUCUAAUUUAUUGAUGUUUAGAAAUUUCUUUAUUUUUUAUGUAUUUAGUUGGGGUGACUUGGAGAUAAAAUUAAUUCUUCAAAUAUUUAAUUGAUGAUUUUUAAAUUAAAAAUCUAGCUUUUUAAAUUUAAAAUUAAUUACCUUAGGGAUAACAGCGUAAUUUUUCUUUAAAGCUCUUAUUGAAAGGAAAUUUUGCGACCUCGAUGUUGGAUUAAAAUUAAUUUUUGGUGCAGUAACUUAAAAAUUAGGUCUGUUCGACCUUUAAAAUUUUACAUGAUCUGAGUUUAAACCGGCGUAAGCCAGGUUGGAUUCUAUCUUUAGAAUUUAUUUUAUAUUUUAGUACGAAAGGACCAAAUAUAUACCAUAUAUUGGUUG
rnacentral:rRNA from 1 species